rnacentral:rRNA from 1 species
CAGUAGCCACGGUAAUACGUAGGGUGCGAGCGUUAAUCGGAAUUACUGGGCGUAAAGCGCACGCAGGCGGUUUGUUAAGUCAGAUGUGAAAUCCCCGAGCUUAACUUGGGAACUGCAUUUGAAACUGGCAAGCUAGAGUCUUGUAGAGGGGGGUAGAAUUCCAGGUGUAGCGGUGAAAUGCGUAGAGAUCUGGAGGAAUACCGGUGGCGAAGGCGGCCCCCUGGACAAAGACUGACGCUCAGGUGCGAAAGCGUGGGGAGCAAACAGGAUUAGAUACCCGUGUAGUCCCUGUCUCUUAUAC